GACGAACGCUGGCGGCGUGCUUAACACAUGCAAGUCACGGGGGCCCAGCAAUGGGCAACCGGCGAACGGGUGCGUAACACGUGAACAACCUGCCCUCGUGUGGGGGAUAGCCAUGCUAACGCGUGGGUAAUACCGCAUACGUUCCUCUGGGGGAGUCCCUGGGGGAGGAAAGCUCCGGCGCACGGGGAGGGGUUCGCGGCCUAUCAGCUAGUUGGGGGAC
rnacentral:rRNA from 1 species